CAGCCGCCGCGGGAAUACGAAGGGUGCAAGCGUUACUCGGAAUUACUGGGCGUAAAGCGUGCGUAGGUGGUGGUUUAAGUCAGAUGUGAAAUCCCCGAGCUUAACUUGGGAACUGCAUUUGAAACUGGCAAGCUAGAGUCUUGUAGAGGGGGGUAGAAUUCCAGGUGUAGCGGUGAAAUGCGUAGAGACCUGGAGGAAUACCGGUGGCGAAAGCGGCCCCCUGGACAAAGACUGACGCUCAGGUGCGAAAGCGUGGGGAGCAAACAGGAUUAGAUACCCGAGUAGUCCCUGUCUCUUAUAC
rnacentral:rRNA from 1 species